CUCUACCAACUGAGCUACAUCCCCACCUCCUACUCAGGAUGCUUUAACCUUAGAUAUUAUAAAUCUCCAGCUAUAGAAAAGUUCCAUAUGAAUCCUUUGAAAAAAUUUGUUGUGCUUUUUUUGUAUUUUUUUAGCAUCCAUUUUCAAUCCUUGUCAAUUACUGAUUGACUUUGUAAUUGAAAGUCUGAAUUAAUGGUAAUAAGAGGAAAUGAAAUUAAGGAGAAAAAACUAUUUACUCCCAUGUUGGCCUGGGUUAGAGAAAUAUCCAGUGCUAAGAGCUGGUAAGGAUAUGUGGAAAGUGGCUGGAGAGGAGAUGCUAGAUCAGUUAUAAUGGAAGCAAUCUGGCAGUGCUUCUUGUAGCCCAAUUAAGGAGCUUUCAGCUGUUCAUUCUGUGGUAGGGGUGUGUUGGGACAAUCUCCUGAAGCACUGUUGUAGGAGUCGGGGUUGAGGCAGGCUUGGCCUACUGGGUGAGUGUCAUGAAUGGCGGGCGGAGCCAUUGUGGUGCGGUUAUGAAGUCUUUAGAUGGGGAUUAGAGGGAUGUCUUAACAGGCAUAUAAAAUAUUAGGGCUCAUAGAAAACCCCUCAUUAGGGGCACAUGGGAUACAUCACAUAAUAGCUCUAAAGAAUAUAUCCUAAGACAAAAAUCACAUAAAAGGGGCACUCAGCUGCUUGUGAAAGAAUUUGUUGACUUGGCCCACUGAAGUCUCUGAGCUGGAACACGAGACCCAGAAGUCUAACUUGACCGACAGCAAGUCUUAACAGGCGUCUACUGGGUAACCGGCUCUCCUGGGCCAGAAUGAUACAAGACUCCCCAGUCCAUUCGAGUUGACAAGAUUAACGACAAUCGCACACAAGAAUAUAAUCUAUCCUGUGGAGAAACACUGCAUCCUUCUGUUUUGCCAGCGCACUCUUUCUCAUGCAUUUCUCAUGAAAACAGCAACUUUCCUUCUGGUCUCUCUGGGCUGGUGU